UGGGAGGUCGUACAAUUGGCAGUACAUCAGAUUCUGGAUCUGAUUAUCCUGGUUCGAGUCCAGGCCUCCCAGCCA
rnacentral:tRNA from 1 species